rnacentral:rRNA from 1 species
GACAGAGGGUGCAAACGUUGUUCGGAAUUACUGGGCGUAAAGCGCGUGUAGGCGGUUAUGCAAGUCGGGGGUGAAAGCCCGGAGCUCAACUCCGGAAGUGCAUUCGAUACUGCGUAGCUAGAGUAUUGGAGAGGAUGGUGGAACUUUUGGUGUAGAGGUGAAAUUUGUAGAUAUUGAGAAGAAUAUUGGUGGUGAAGGUGGCUAUCUGGACAGAUACUGACGCUGAGACGCGAAAGCGUGGGGAGCAAACAGG